rnacentral:rRNA from 1 species
ACGCUCGACACCUACGGGAGGUAGCAGUGGGGAAUAUUGCACAAUGGGGGAAACCCUGAUGCAGCGACGCCGCGUGAAGGAAGAAGUAUCUCGGUAUGUAAACUUCUAUCAGCAGGGAAGAAAGUGACGGUACCUGACUAAGAAGCCCCGGCUAACUACGUGCCAGCAGCCGACGGUAAUCUGAGGCGGGCUGGCAAGGC